rnacentral:rRNA from 1 species
AGCGAACGCUGGCGGCAGGCCUAACACAUGCAAGUCGAACGAACCCUUCGGGGUUAGUGGCGGACGGGUGAGUAACACGUGGGAACGUGCCUUUAGGUUCGGAAUAACUCAGGGAAACUUGCGCUAAUACCGGAUGUGCCUCGCAAGAGGGAAAGAUUUAUCGCCUCUGGAGCGGCCCGCGUCUGAUUAGCUAGUUGGUGAGGUAAAGGCUCACCAAGGCUACGAUCAGUAGCUGGUCUGAGAGGAUGGCCAGCCACAUUGGGACUGAGACACGGCCCAAACUCCUACGGGAGGCAGCAGUGGGGAAUCUUGCGCAAUGGGCGAAAGCCUGACGCAGCCAUGCCGCGUGGAUGAUGAAGGUCUUAGGAUUGUAAAAUCCUUUCAGCGGGGACGAUAAUGACGGUACCCGCAGAAGAAGCCCCGGCUAACCUCGUGCCAGCAGCCGCGGUAACAC